rnacentral:lncRNA from 8 species
CAAGGAUGGUAAAGUCGUAGGUCAUCAAAGAGGCAUGUGACGCAAUAGUCUGUUGGAAGAGGGGGCGUGUAAGAUGGGCGUGCCUUUUUCUGGGCGUGUUAUAGUCCAGCCAGUUACAUUUCUCAUUCGACAUGAGGGGUCGGCUCGACCCGCCCAUUCAAGGCUGGCUGAUCUCUGGCACGCUUUUGUUCAAACUCAAGUCAAGUAAGUCAUAAUCGCUUGCCUACCGUUUAGUUUAGCUACUACACUGUAGUAUAUGAAUAGCAGCAGGCAACACGAAUUUCGCUCCUCAUAUUGAUUUCUUUAGACGGCUUUUAUUUACAAUAUUCAUGGUUUUGUCAGCCAGUAGUGGUAUUUAGGCUUGAAAGUACAUACAUUGGUAUUUUAGUUAGCUUGUUAUAACUUGCGCAACGACUUCAGAUAAGAGCAAAGUCUCGGGACAAGGCAACAACUAGACCUUUGGAAGGUCAGAUUUGACACAACUUUCAGACUAACUUUCACCAGGUUGAACUCUUCGAUAGCUUCCAUGUUUCUUCUAUAGGCUAGUGUUGGACUGUGCUCUUGGCGUAUGUGUCUGUUUGUCAUAUUCCCUCUGGAAGUCUGUGGAGAGAAGCUGUUCAACUUGGAUGUUAUCCUCACGCGACUCUGGAUUUAGUUACGUACUGUGAGACGUACACGCGUACCCCCAGAGACCAGACGGUGAAUGUUGACUUUACGACAAGAAUAGUCGAAAACACCUGACUUUACCCGAUUUGAAUGCCUGUGCAAGGAUUUUGUUGGUUUCUGUGCUGCAGGCAGGGUUUCAAUUUGCUCGGACGGGACUAUGGGGAGAAAGAGGAGGAAGAAUCUUUUGAGUUGCGCAACAAGGAGGAUCUGACCUGCAACGGACGUGGUCCACUUGAGGUGACUCUCUCUCAGCCGACUCGCACAGCCAAUGGGACAAACGGAGCUUGGUUCUUGGGGUUUCUCACCACAAGACUCAUAGUAUGCCUGACCACACAUGCACACACACACAUGCAGACGUACACGUAGGAUCUUAAUUUGAGCCAAUUUGCUACAACAUAAAAAUUAUCCUGCAGCGACAAGAAAUGUAAAUUAUUAUGUGGAUUAUAAUUAAUGGUCAUUUUUGAAGGGGUUGAUAAAGUUCUUGUCAGGGAAAAUCAAAUGGAAAUGAUAAACUUCAGAAGCCUUUUAAACCUCAAAUACUGUCACGUCCUGACCAGUAAUAGGGGUUAUUUGUUAUUGUAGUUUGGUCAGGACGUGGCAGAGGGUAUUUGUUUUAUAUGGUUCGGGGUGGUGGUUUGUUUAGUAGGGUAUUUGAUUUAUGUAUUCCGGGGGUUUUUGGGCACUGUUCUGUUAGUGUAUUUCAAUGUUCUGUCUAGUCUUUUGUAUUUCUAUGUUUUGUUAAUUGGGGUUGGACUCUCAAUUGGAGGCAGGUGUUUUCUAGUUGCCUCUGAUUGAGAGUCCUAUAUAAAGGUAUGUGUUUGUUGAGUACUUGGUGGGAGAUUGUUCUGUGUAUAGCCUUGUGCCUUACCAGCCUGUGAUUAGUCGGUGUAUUUUCUUUGUGUUUGUUUUGGUUCUCCUUCUUGUCUGUUUAUAAUAAAGAAGAUGAGUGCACAUUUCCCCGCUGCAGUUUGGUCUAUAUCCGACGACAACCGUUACAAAUACACUACAAGUUAUCCUACAACAGGGUGAUCAAAUUAAGAUUCUAUAUCUGUAGACUGUCACACUCGUCGUCCAAACUGGAAGCAUACUCGGACCAACGUGCAGCGUGAUCUGGGUUCCACAUAUUUUAUUUAAGUGAAACGCACAAAACAAAGAAUAAACGAUACGUGAAGCUCAAGCAAUGCUCUUAGGCCACUACACAGAAACAAGAUCCCACAAAACACAGUGGGGAAAUGGCUGCCUAAAUAUGAUCCCCAAUCAGAGACAACGCUAAAUAGCUGCCUCUGAUUGGGAACCAUACCAAGCACACCAACAUAGAAAUAUACAACAUAGAACACCCCCAGACCUACUAUACCAUAGAGAACCAAGGGCUCUCUAUGGUCAGGGCGUGACAAGGAUGCACCAAUACCACUACCAAAUUCACAGGCCAUGUGUCAGCACUCACACUUAUUUCUCACACCGGGGUGCAAGAUAAGACACACACUCACUCUCACACACACACACACACACACACACACACACACACACACACACACACACACACACACACACACACACACACACACACACACACACACACACACACAGAUGAACAGUAUGCAUGCCUGAUAAUGUCACAACUUGCUACAAGAGGACAACUCAAACAGGAAAGGGAGGAGGGCUGAGGGUGGGGGCGUUGAGGGAGAGGUGAGCUGAGGCUCUCAAGUCAGACGGGACAUGCAGCCUCCUGAGGGAGAGAGGGAAGACAGGGUGAGCGAGGUGACUCAAUCUCACUUCAGGAACACACCCUGGAGGGGCGAGGCUGGCACAAGCGUGUGUGUGUGCGUGUGCGUGUGCUGCCACUUCCACAGAGCAGAGAAGAGCGAUAGGCCUCAGAGCUGUCACACAGGUGAUUUACUGCUGGCGCUAGAGGGAGUGUGUCAAAUAACUGACUGACUAUAAUCAUCACACUAAGAACUAGGUGCUGUGCUACACGACCAUUACAUGGCCACUGGCCACACCUAUCUAAUGGUCCAUUACAAAGCAGGGAGGAGACACUGACGUAUAGUCACAUUUAUCUCACAUAUAUUCGCACAGAUUAGACCAGUUUAAUUCUUUUUUUUAGGGGCCCAUUUAGAGUCAAGUUAGACGAUUCAAGGCAUGAAAUUCAGUCACAAGUGAAUGUAGGCUAAGCAGAAUAGAUCUGUAUUGAAAAGCACUGUGAUAUUGAAGGGAUGUUGAGAGUUUGUACUAUUCUGAAAGUGAGCUUGAUAGAUUUCUGUUCAUCCGGAACAGGAAAGUAUAGGUUCCAGCAGGUCAUCCCACACCUCUGUCUGUGUGCACUAACCUUUAUAGCACCUCCAUUUGAACAUGAUUAGUCAUGUCAUGUAGUCGUUAUUACUCAUUAUGAGCCCUGCAGGCUUCACGUUCUGUUCUGCGGAUAGAGAGAUUCUCCU